UGAAAUAUUCAGAUGAUAGAAAAGGUUGUACGGAAGAAAACAAAAUAUUUUGUGGCAACAGAUGUUAUAUUGAAUCAAUCUCAUUGGACCCUAAAGGAACAAAAUUUGCGGUUAUUUCCAAUGAUUGCUCAGACUUUUCUCCUAAGUCGUCGUUUCUAAUUUACGAUUUUGAUAAAAGGAAUUUUAGUAAUCAGAUAAUAAAUAUAAAAUAUGAUGAUCCUUGUCAGCAACUAAUAUGGGAGGAUACUCACACUAUUCUCAUGCGUUUUUAUUAUUCUAUUAAAAAAAUGGAUUUGAGAACAUCCGAAUUUGUACGUACAUGGGAUUCUUCCAAAUAUCGCCCAUCACGCUGUUGCUCAUCAGAUAAUAUAAACACUUUUAUGACAGGGCAUUAUAUGGUUGUUAUGUGGGAUCAGAGACAAAGUGUUGCCAUUCAAACGUAUGAUAUAAAUGGCUCAAUAUAUGCUUUAGAAUUUGAUAGUUCCCAUAUGUAUGCUGUUGCCGGAAAUGGUCUUUAUGAAUUGGACUUUACGAGAAAAAACUACUUUAAUC